AGUGAACGCUGGCGGCAGGCCUAACACAUGCAAGUCGAACGGCAGCACAGUAAGAGCUUGCUCUUACGGGUGGCGAGUGGCGGACGGGUGAGGAAUACAUCGGAAUCUACUUUUUCGUGGGGGAUAACGUAGGGAAACUUACGCUAACACCGCAUACGACCUACGGGUGAAAGCAGGGGAUCUUCGCACCUUGCGCGUCUGAAUGAGCCGAUGUCGGAUUAGCUAGUUGGCGGGGUAAAGGCCCACCAAGGCGACGAUCCGUAGCUGGUCUGAGAGGAUGAUCAGCCACACUGGAACUGAGACACGGUCCAGACUCCUACGGGAGGCAGCAGUGGGGAAUAUUGGACAAUGGGCGCAAGCCUGAUCCAGCCAUACCGCGUGGGUGAAGAAGGCCUUCGGGUUGUAAAGCCCUUUUGUUAGGGAAGAAAAGCAGCAUGUUAAUACCCCCCUGUUCUGACGGUACCCAAAGAAUAAGCACCGGCUAACUUCGUG
rnacentral:rRNA from 1 species